UCUCCUGUAUGCGUUCUCUGAUGGACAGUUAGGGCUGACCGGUGGCAGAAGGAUUUCCUACAUGCGUUGCAUUCAUAGGGUUU
ensembl:miRNA predicted gene, 25953